UACGGAGGGUGCAAGCGUUAUCCGGAUUUACUGGGCUUAAAGGGCGCGUAGGUGGGCCUGUAAGUCAGUGGUGAAAUCUCCGAGCUUAACUCGGAAACUGCCAUUGAUACUAUAGGUCUUGAAUUAUCUGGAGGUAAGCGGAAUAUGUCAUGUAGCGGUGAAAUGCUUAGAUAUGACAUAGAACACCAAUUGCGAAGGCAGCUUACUACGGAUUGAUUGACACUGAGGCACGAAAGCGUGGGGAUCAAACAGG
rnacentral:rRNA from 1 species